rnacentral:rRNA from 1 species
UACGUAGGUGGCGAGCGUUGUCCGGAUUUAUUGGGCGUAAAGCGCGUGCAGGUGGUUGGUUAAGGCCGAUGUAAAAUCUCCCGGCUCACCUGGGAGGGCGCGUUGGCGACUGGCCGACUGGAGGCAGGUAGAGGCCGGUGGAAUUCCAGGUGUAGCGGUGAAAUGCGUAGAUAUCUGGAGGAACACCGGUGGCGAAGGCGGCAUCCUGGACCAACACUGACACUGAGGAGCGAAAGCCAGGGGAGCAAACGGG